rnacentral:misc_RNA from 1 species
UUGUUUUUGUAAUAGCCAUUACUAGUUGAACUAAGUUGUAUUGUUGUUUUUUCACUUCUUCAAAAUAAUACCACAUUGCCCUCCUCUCCAUUUCUUUGUGUUUCGCUCUGUUCAUUUACUUUUAUUCGUUCCUAACUCUAUCAGGUUUCAAAUCAUUGCUUCCCCUCCCCCCCAAGAAAAAAAUGUCAGAACACACAACAGCCACUCUAAAUAAUUGUGAGCUACCAAAACAAAACUAAGAUCCUUACAAGAGAAACUAUAAACCCUAUGUGAAGUUCUAAUCUGAGUUUCAUGAUUCGUGUGUAGAUAAAUUUAUUAAGAUGUCAACAAUACGGAGAAGAAGAUAAAAAAUAAAUAAAUAAAU